rnacentral:snRNA from 1 species
GUGCUCGCACUAGCAGCACAUACAGGAAAAUUAGAAAGAUACAGAGAAAAAUUAGCAUUGCCCCUGCAUAAGGAUCACACACACACACACACACACACACACACACACACACACACGUACAUGAGGCACUCCAUACUUUA